GGUCAAGACUCCCACACAUACACCAAGGGUGUAAGAAGAUCCUGGCAGAUCAUAUGGUGAUGGGGAACAUUAAGGGUACACAAAGAUAAGGAAACAAAUCAGUAACCUGUUAUUGGAAUGUGGACACAAGGUUAAGUAAUGAGAGGAACACAAUGAGUCAUCUACUAUGAGCAGUAGCUGACAUGGGGCUCGGCUAUUAACUGUGAACUCCAAAAAACUAAGUAGUUCCAGGCUUAACCCCCAUGGCUGAAGGACAAUGAAGAGGGUACUAAAAUAAUGACUGCAUAAUUAAUAGUAUUGCCCACUGAAAAAUGCCCAGAUCAUAGGAGUCACUAGGAGAGUCCCCCACAUGCACAUUUUUAAUGUUUAUAUGCAAUAAAUAUUCCUUGAAAGCCUUCUCUGUAUCAGAUGCUAUGCUGGUGCUGUAUAUUCAAUCCUGAACACGACACAAGCCCUACUUUGAGAGUCUAAUGACAGAGGGUGCUGGGACUCCUUCAUUCCUGUUGUAUCUCUAUUGUGACCCUCAUUACACCAGCUCCCAUUACUGUCUUAAGAGGUAGGACUUUUUAGACCUGAUUGUACUUUAGGAAGGAGGGAAGGAAUCUCUAAACCAAACCCUAAUCUCAGCUCCUUCUCUUGAGUAAGAGCUCUGGUGGAGGGUAAGGGAGCGGCAACUAACCCCAAAGUGAAGGCAGCCAUCACCUAAUCUCAGUCAUCACCAUUUGGGGCAGCCUGAAGCCCUGUCAGGAUGAGGAAUGUCCUAACAGGUCUCCCAGAUGGAAAGCAGCACAGGCUGUCAAGGGCCAGUUAGGUAUAAACUGGUUACCACAUCAAGACAGAGUAAGCACACAAGACUGACCAGGACUGGGUCAAGAACACUGAGUAAGUCAUGUGCUCAUCAUCCUGGGAAAGAUGGCUUCAAGGAGGAUGGCUGAGAAGGAAGAAGAGCUCAGAAAGAUCUGCUUCUUUAGAAAGGCAAAAAGCCAUGUGGAUUGUUCAAGUGAGGUCUUGACAGUUGGGCCUUUCUCCCUCUGUGGAACCUCUUUAGGCCUAAAGAUUCUAAACCAACUGCAGUGAGGCCCCUUAAGAAGGAGCCCUUCUCAGCAAAGACCUGCCUCCACUGUUGAUAUCAGAGUUGGGAAACUAUGAUCUCUGGGAAUAUUAGUCACUUGUGUGAUGUGGUAGCUAAUCAGCUGGUCCUCCUUCAGGAGGAGACUGAGGGUUAGGGCUGAGAUAGAUACUUCCCAUAUAUUCUGCUCUCACUUUGGCUGUUGAAAAUUUGGAGGACAGAGCUAAACACCUGAAAUAAAUUGUAUAGCAGGAAUCCCAGAGGAGGAGACAUUUGGGGCCAGGAUGACCUCCCUGACCCCUUCAGAUGUUCACAGAAGCAGAAAUUCAAAAUACUCUCUUAAUCCACUGUGCACACAUUCAUGUAGUGUAACUUAAAGGCUAAUAGAUUUGCUUUCCUUGGUUCCUUAUUCUAAGUUUGGAAAGGCAAAUAUCAAAAAUGAGAUUUCUAAUGAUUUUUUUUACUAAAAUGUAAUUUUAUCUUGUCAGCUUUUUUUUUUACUUGACUACUACUUUUGAAAUAAUCCUGACAUUGAUUUACAUUUGAUCAUCAUCUCCAGUUUUAAGUUUCCCUCAUGUUACUGUUUGCCAUCAGCCAGGUCCCUUUCAACAACAUACUUGUAGCCACAGAGGAGUUUAUUGGCCAGUAAAAAAAUACUCUUCGAAAGUACAUUCAAACCACCUCCAAUCCAUAUUAUGUUUCAGAUUUCCUAAACUUGGGGGUGAAAUUUUUUCUGAAGAUCAAAAGUUAUCAUAAAAACUGAAGCCAUGUUAAGAUUACAAAGCUGGUUGGUUCCUGUGCUCUAGGACUUGCCAGAGAGAUUCAUGAUCUGAUCCAGUUUGAAAUCUGAAGUGAAGGAAUGCCACACCCAAAUGAGCUUUCUUCUCUCUGUUGUCCCCAUACAGAAAGAGGUCAAUUUCUCUGCAAUUCUUAGCACUUCAAUCUAUGAAAUCAUGGGGUUUAUUUCCAGGGUACUAAUAAAACCAUUACUUUAAGGGAAGGCUGUUUCCAACAAGACUAUAUGAAAACUUUCUACAAAUAGGCCAAUGUGUUCAUUGUUCAGAGCACUACUGAUUCAUUUCUGUCUCAGGGCCUUUGCUGUCUAUUCCCAUGAUAUGGAAUGCCUUUGCCCUGGUCUCCUGCUGAGACCAAACUCUAUUUCAAUCUUCAAGGCCUAACUUAAGAUGCACCUUCUCCCAAAAAAAUUCUCUUGGUCUUUAUCAACCUGCCCUCCCCCUCUUGUCUCCACCCCUAACCUGCUCAAAUAUAUUUCUUGUGGCAGGUGAUAUCCCAUGACAUAGCAUUCAGUACAGAAAAGGGCUAGAAGUACAGUAAGACAGCUUGAUUGAGGAGGUCUCAGACUUCUGACAAUGGAAGUAUGGCCAGGUGCAGCUUAGUUCAUGUAGUUUGGGGAAAAACAGACCUGCCCAGGACUGAAUCCUCACUCUUACACUUACUAGCUAUGUAGCCUCAGGCAGAUUACUUUCCUUCCCUGGGCUGCAGUGUCCCUUUCAAAAAUGCCAUGGGGUUGCUUCCAGGCUAAAAUUGGUUUAGGUGACGACCACUUUCCUAAACAUUGGAGCUACAAAGUUGAGUAAGGUAAAGCCCUGAUCUUGAAAAAGAGCUCAGAGUCUACAGACAAGCUAUUUGCAAUAGUUUCAGGCUCUUUGAGGGAAACAGUUAAGAGGUGUCAUGGGAAUAGUAAACUGAAAGCAGUAGGGAGUAGGGGAGAAACUGUGGAGUCUGAAGUGAUACCAGAAUUGCAGAUCUGUGCUGAAAGCUGGAAAACAGUGACAGUAGUAGGAAUGGAAGUGGAAGGAAGGAAUGGAGAAAAGGAAGAUUUGAGAGACAUUCCAAGUAAAGCAAAAUUACAGGCCUUGGCGCAUUUCAGACUUAAGAAGAUAGAGGAGAUUGGUGACGAAUCUUGACCAAAUUUCUAGCUAAGGAGACAGACACAGGCACCGAUAGAAAUGGAGUUAACUGGUUUGGGUAGUGGAAGAGAUCAACCUCUGCAGACAGCAGAUAUGUCUCACAAACAACUGAUGCCAAUCUUGAAGUCCAACAGCUUCUUUUUUCACAAGCCUACUGAGUCCUCUUCCUCACCCCACCUCCAUCCCACUUGAUUUUACUGAGAAAGUUCACUGGUACGUUGAAAAGUCAACUAGGUUUGCGAAACCUAGGCAAACAGCAUGAACAACUAAUAAGAAGUACACUCCCCAUGCAUCUUUUUUAUUGGCUCUACUUGACUUUUAAAGUUAAAAUGACGUUAGCCUAGGAUAGCCCAGGUGUCUCUUGACCAUUCCUCCAAGAUUACAAAUAUCCAACUAUCCUCUGAAGCUGCCCAUGUAGAGCAAGGCAGUCUGGUCCGUUACAAUUGGAGGAUGGUACUUCCACAUUCUGAACCAGUAACUGUCACCCAGGACCAGCCAGAACCUGCUUUCUGUGGAACCCCCAACCUCCUCCUUUCCACCUCAGACACUGAGCAUGCUCACUGCAGAUUAAGAAGGUGAUUCCUCAUAUAGUCCCUAGUUUAUAGAGAUCAAAAACAAAAAUGUAAUGCAUGCCUUUCCUUUGAUCCAACAAUUAUAGAAAUGUAUACUAAGGAAAUAAUCAGAAGUGCACAUAAAUAAAUGGCUGCAAAGAUAUCUUUUGAGGUAUCCCUUUGGAUUGGGGGGGGGACAGAAAAUGCAGGGACAUUCUGAAUGCAAAACAAUAAGGGAGUAUUUCAAUAAGUUGCCACAUAUCCACAGAAGGGAAUAUUAUACAGAAUUUAAAAUAUUAUAAAGACAUUUUAAUGGCAUGGGAAAAUAUUUAAAAUACAUUUUAAUUAGCAAAAAAAGAGAACUACAUAUAACUCUGUUCUCAAUUUUGUAACAUACCCCCCCACACACACAUGCCUUAUAUACAUAAAGAAACACAAACACAUACAUACACACACAUAGCCAAAGAAAAAUAACCUGGGAGGUUAUUACUAUUAUCUCUAGGUGGAGAUGACUAAAUAAUUUUAAAUUAUUUUUUAUUUUCUUCUUUGUACUUUUCUGUAUUUUCCAAUUAUCUUUGAAAUCUUUUGUAAUCAAGAAAAAAAAUUCUCAAAAUAAAGGGAAAUGGGCCAUGAAAUAGGCCAUGACUUGAAGGGAAGAAACCUGUAGAGAUGAUAUGUAAGCCAUGGAGCAUUUAUUCCUUCCAUACUUCAGGGGAUAUUUUUUUCUUUCCUGAACACGAGAUGGCCAGUCUUUCCAUCUCUUACCAUAAAAUGCCUGACAGCUUAGAUUUCAAAGCUUUUCUUUAAAGCUCAGAGCUUCUCUCAAUAAAACCUAUAUUCCUCCAUGCCUAGGCAAUAAAUGGCCACAAGAAUCUACUAGGUAUUUGGAAACAAUCAUUUCUCUUUUCUUUAUAUUGACUGGAUUAACUUUUGCCAAGAGACAAAUGAUCUGCCUGGAUCACUCAGUUCCUUAUUCUUUGAUUUAAUUAGGGAUUAGAUGGUAAUAGACUGGAAAUAAAUUCUUUUCAUUGACCUAAAUUAACUUGGCUUUUGAAAUAUGGCAUAGUCUCAACAAUUAUCUGAAAGGAAAAAAUACAUAUAUAAUAACCCAUUACAUGCAGGAAACUGUACCAAUCCAACCACUUAAACAUGUCUCAUUAACACCAUCUGUAAUAAAUACUCCCAACUCUUUGAGUAAUGGAAGCCAUUUCUGUCCAUAAGAUAAAGGAAUAAGGAAAGGUGGUGGGAAGGAAUUCCCUUCCCAACAAGUAUUUUUGGGUAGGAAUCUAUUUUUGUAUCAAGAUCAUUUGUUGGCCAAGUCUUGUUUCUUGUUUGACAGACCUACUUCCCACCAUGUGCCUCUGUCCUCUGCAGUAUAGCUUCCACACAGUGAUGGGAUUUCUCUCCCUAAAACCCUCCAUUUAGUAUAUUCAUCUCUCCUCACAACUUACAUUUUUAUAGAAAAUUGUGGUUUGCAAAGGCUUUCACACAAAAGAUGUUGUGUGAUCUUUAGAAAAACUCUAGAAGACAAGAAUUUUACAGAUGAAGAAACUAAGUUCAGAGAGAUUGUUACUUGUCCAGAUACUCCUGCUAGUAAGAAGUGGUUAUCAGAUGAAAACUUCCAUUUUCUAGCAUGUGAUUGAUUGUUUCAUCUGUCAAUAAUCCUGAUAAUACCAAUUUGUCUUGAUGUUGAGUUUUAAGACAUUUUCUCAUCCAUAUGCAUUUAACCACUUCCACACUGCCUCUCGAUAAUGAUUAGUGUGUAUGCUGUGUACCUAAUCUCAAAUUCAUUUUAAUGAAAAUCAUUCUUGGAGGAUGGCACAAAGGACAUUACCUAGAACAAGCCAGCGUGUAGACAUUCAACCCAUUGAAGCCGUCUGGGUAAGAUGUACUUCAUUCGCCAGAACUGUUGGAUAACCUAGGGAGCUUAAGGUACCUGAUCUUGUCUCCAGACAUAGCCUUUGCUCUCCCAGGCCUUUUUUCUUUUCUGAGUUCUGACUCUGGUAUGGCCCUUACUGACAUAGUUGGUAUGAUCUCCUGCAGCAGGUAACUUGCUAUCCUGUAACAUGCUAUUUUUAGAUUUGUAAUAAUCUCCCCACACCCCACUCACUUACUCCAUGUUUUGCCCACAUCCUACUACAUGCACACAUACACACAAAGACAUGCCCUAGACUAUAUAGUUGCCCUGAGAGGAGAUACGGGUCUUACCCUUCUUACUGUAUCUUCCUAUUGCCAAUAGAUGCCUAAAAUUUUUUGCUAUGUUAAAUUGAUCACUAUAUUUUUAAAUUAGAGUGUCUACUAGAAAGUACAGCUAUGCAAUUAUAAUUGUAUAUUUUAUGACCCACUCUUUCCCCUACCUGCCUCUAUUUCCUUUUUCUUACACCACAAAUCCUUUCAUUUAUUUUAAUACCUUUCAGCAAAUAACUUUAUAUUUUAUUUCAUGGGAUGGUGAUCAUAAGGCCUCUAACUUACUUCAGCCUAAGACUCUAACAUUUGAAUUAGCCUGGGAAAAGUUUGGGAAAUCACUAUUUAUUCUAUGCUUCUCAUUCAAUUUCUCUAGGCAAAAUAUCCUCUACUCUUUAAAAAGUGUAUUCACUUCUAAAUGACGAUACAAAUUUCAUUUUUCGAGGUCAAACUAGCCCAAUUCAAUAUUCUUUGUUGUUGUGCUCAAUUAUAAAAUGGAAAGAUUGGAAGAAAAUACAAUUUUAUUAUAUAACAUAAUAACAUGAGCUAGGCUAGAAAUAUUGUUUACCAUGUCCUGAUCACGUUUUCAAGAUUUUUUUUAAACAGCUUGACAAUAUUUAAUUUUGUUAGUAGAACGCGUGGUCUGGAUUAUUUCUUUUUUGAAAUGUGGAUGGAUCUGGUAACUAAGGCAUCUUAGAAGGUGAGUAUUACAUUUAAAGUCAUGUUACAGGACUAGGGAAACAAUCUCUUUGACAUAGGACCCCAUAUUUUAGAUACCACCAUACAGGGUUGGUUGGGGACAACUUCAAGAGGGAUGCUAGCAUGUGUGUUCCCCCCUAAUAAACACUCAAACACUCACUAUCUCUAGGCAGAAUGAGAUUCUUUAACAAAACAUGGAUAAAGCACUUAAUGCAAACUGUAAAAUGUUUAGCCUAUAAUUUUCAUUAAUUACUGUCUCCAAUACAGAGUGCUGCUGGGAAAUUAAAACGUAAAAGCAAUGCUUUUUUUUCCUUGUAUUUAUUGAGCAAGAAAAAGAAAUGGAACAAUAAGAGAUACACUAAGGAAAAGUUAGUUCCCUGUUCAUAAUAUAUUAAAGGCAGUAUUUUAAGGAUGCUUCCUCAUUCCUUGUGGGCCAGUCCUUUCCCUGAACACAGAAUAAGCACAGCCCGCACUUCCAUAAAUGUUGUCUAGCUUUCACCAAUAGCCCCCAUAUAUCUCGGCCUAUUCUGCCACAGCCUUUCUUUUAAAAUAGCUAAAUUCAUUAGGGAUUUCGGGAGGAAGUCAUGUCACAUUGAGACAAGUGAGUUUAUGGUUUCCAAAAAUAAAACAAAGUAUGGACAAAUGUGUUGGCAAUGGAGAAAGGGUUAUCUGCGGUACGAGAUUUCCAAGGUCUGAGCCUGAAAACUAUGAACUCUAAUUAUACUCUGAUUGCCACCCAGGAAAAUCCAUCUUUUCCCCUGUGUUUCACUGAUACUCUAAAAUUGAAGUAUUGUAUAGACAAAAGAAUACUGAGUUCUAUGAAGUAAAGGGAUUAUAUAAUUAACAGUGCUUGAGAAAUUAUUAUUACAUUCUACCCCUCCCCCAAAUCACGGAUCCCAGACAUUUCUAUGCCCAGUCCCCCUUAGUAACUUUACCACUUGCUGUUCACAUCUUCUAAACUCUCUGCCUAGUUUUCCUCCUGGCCAUGACUGAUGUAUUUCUUUGUCCUGGAGGCAAAGAGCCAUGUUACAUAUUCCUUUAAACUUUUACACCAUUUUGGGGCCCUGCAAUUUUUUUUUAUAAGAAUCUCCCAAGUUUCCUCAUUCUUUGCCUCAUUGUGACCUCUUCUUGGAUUCAUGAUCUUUUCCAACCUUACAGAGGGAGCAGCCUCCUUCCUUAGCAUCCAUGUGUCAGUUUUGGUUUUUGUUUGUUGGUAAUACUACCUUUUGCUCAAUGUUCCUUGACGUCUCCUUGUGAAGAGAAUACACAGAGCCCAGACAAGCUUCUACUGCUGUACAAAUGGUUUCAAAAUCUGAAAGAUCUGGAUUCAAAUCAUGGUUCUAAAACUAGAAUACUGGCCUUUCCGUCUUUGGUCACAAAAGGAGAGCUUAAACAGAGAUGCUGAGAAGGCAAGUAUAGCAGAGAAUGUGAAGAAAUCCCCGCCAUGGUACCCACAGCAGAUGUUUUCGAAGUUUGGGGAUGGUGAAGGACCCAGGGGACGGUGCCAAGGAGCAGCACGAGGUGCCGUGUGAUAAAUGGAGCUGUCUCUUUCCCAUUACAGGAACAUAGCAAGUUUCAAGAGCAAAUCAGAAACCUAGAAUGAUUAAUUGUGUAGUCUACAACGAGUCCUGUUGUGUUUGUCUAUGAAUCCCUUUGCUCUGAAGAUCAGACACACCAGGUGCAGAGAAACACCUGGCUAUGAUGAACCCUGUGAGUUUCUUAGUAACCCACUCCAAAAAAAAGGGGAACAGUGGUUUUGUUUACAGGUGAACAGUAGGAAGGGGAUCAAAGCUGGUGAGAAAACUGAAAUGGUGGAGUAAGAACAAAAGCAUCCCUUUAACAUCAAGCCAAGCGCUGUCAUAUCUCUGGCUUAGCUUCCUCUUUCUCUAUACCUGCUUGGCAUCAAUGAGGAACAAAGUAUUUUAAGGAAGUCAUAACUUCGUUCUUACUUAUUCCCACCCACCGAUUCCGCUGUCACCUCACAGUCACCUUUGCAUAUGACCUAAGGCAGUUUCAGCUGAGCGUUAGCAGUGAAGAGCAUAGCCAUUGAGCACACCGGUUUCUGGGCCCAAACCCCCAUUUUACUACCCAUGUGACAUGGCACAAAUUAUCGAAAGUCUCUGUGCUUCACCAUCUGCCCAAAUAUGAUAUAACGUUAAUAAUACCCACCUAGGAAUUCUUAUCUAAGUAAAGUACACAAGAAUGUAAGAUGCCUGAAACAAUCAGUAAAUAGUAGCUAUUGUUGUUAAACAAGAUGGCCAGGGAGAUUACUGUUAUUUUUCUUUAAAGUGUAACCAGCACGUUAACAAUACUGUUUGCAUACUAAAUGAGUGUGUCAAUUACACAUAGUUAUUGACCCUUCCUUAAAGCUGAUGAGGUACACUAAUAUUUAGUUAGCUAAUUUUGUUGAACUGUAGAGGCAGCAUGGCUUGGUGGAAAGAUCUAGAUUCAAAUGCCAGCUCUAUUGUUCACUAAUUGGAAGCCUUAAAAAAAAAAGAAAGGUGUUUAAUCUCUCGAUGCCUCAUCUGUUCUUUAAAAAGUGAGAAGAAAAAUACUUCAUUUUCAGGGUGGUAGUAAGAACUAAAUGAGAGAAUGCAAAUGCCUAGUGCAUAAUAGGUGUCUGUAAUAAAGGACCGUUGACAAGACAGCACACAUUUACCUUACAGCAAUAAAAGUGCUCUCCAUUUUUAAUACC